UACAGAGGGUGCGAGCGUUAAUCGGAAUUACUGGGCGUAAAGCGCGCGUAGGUGGCUUGAUAAGUCGGUGGUGAAAUCCCAUGGCUCAACCAUGGAACUGCCGUCGAUACUGUCAGGCUUGAGGGCGGUAGGGGAGAGUGGAACUCCUGGUGUAGCGGUGAAAUGCGUAGAUAUCAGGAGGAACGCCGGUGGCGAAAGCGACUCUCUGGGCCGUUCCUGACACUAAAGCGCGAGAGCUAGGGGAGCAAACAGG
rnacentral:rRNA from 1 species